CCUACGGGAGGCAGCAGUGAGGAAUAUUGGGCAAUGGAGGCAACUCUGACCCAGCCAUGCCGCGUGAGUGAAGAAGGUUUUCGGAUUGUAAAGCUCUUUCGGGUGUGACGAUGAUGACGGUAGCACCUAAAGAAGCCCCGGCUAACUUCGUGCCAGCAGCCGCGGUAAUACGAAGGGGGCAAGCGUUGUUCGGAAUUACUGGGCGUAAAGGGAGUGUAGGCGGUUAUGUAAGAUAGUGGUGAAAUCCCAGAGCUUAACUUUGGAAUUGCCAUUAUGACUAUGUGGCUAGAAUUACAGAGAGGAUAGUGGAAUACCCAGUGUAGAGGUGAAAUUCGUAGAUAUUGGGUAGAACACCAGUGGCGAAGGCGACUAUCUGGCUGUAUAUUGACGCUGAGGCUCGAAAGCAUGGGGAUCAAACAGGAUU
rnacentral:rRNA from 1 species